UCGGACGUUGUGCAUGGUGCACGCCCGCCUGCCGUAUGUUGUCUCUCCUGCGCAACGCAUGAAGCGGGAGCAGCGGGUUCGAUUCCCGGCGUCCGGA